rnacentral:lncRNA from 10 species
CUGCUGCAACAAUCCUAAAUGUUCCAUCUCUCCCUAGUUCCUGUUUCAGAUCAAAAAUUCCAAUUGGUUUCUAUGUAUUUGGAAGAUAUGACUGUGAUGGUGUGGGUGCUGAUGGUCUUCAUCACCAUGCUUAUUUCCUUGGUUUACUUCAGACUGAGAGGCUUUUUCCAAAUAUAAGGGAUUCAGCAGCAACAAACUUCUCAUCUGGAACUUUGGAUAGAGAGACUACAGUGGCACAAUAUUCUAAGAACUCAGAAGAAAAUAAUUGUAAACACACAAUUUUAUGAAUGGCCAUAAUUGCUAUGUGGAGG